rnacentral:RNase_P_RNA from 1 species
AAACCAGAAGUGUGCAGUCGCCGUGUAGCAUCAGGCUACGGCGGAGGAAAGUCCGAACUUCACAGGGCAGGGUGCCGGUCGAGAGUCUAAGACUCAAGCCUGGGGAUGACGGCGCAAGCCGGUUAUCACAGAUAGUGCAACAGAAAACAAACCGCUCCGGGCAACCGGAGUAAGGGUGAAAUGGCGGUGUAAGAGACCACCAGACAUUACAGCAAUGUAAUGUGCUUGGCAAACCUCCCCGAAGCAAGGCUAAAUAGGAAAACUUUCUCCUCUCGGGGGGAUAAGAGUGGCCCGCUCAAAUCCGAAAGGAGAGUUUUCGGGUAAGCCGCAUUAGAUAAAUGGCUGCAGUUUUAACCGGCUUCGGCCGGUUAAUCCACAGAAUUCGGCUUAUAGCUUCGGUUUCAGC